rnacentral:rRNA from 1 species
UUGGAUAACAGGUUGAAAUUCCUGUACUGCUUAUGGACAGAACUGUGGGGACGCAGAAGGAGAGCACGAGCCGGAAAUGGAAAAGCCGGUACAAGCGUAUAGCAGUCAUGCAGGCAAAACCGCAUGAAAAAUGUAAAGCGUUAUGUGGAUCGAACAUUAGUAGAGAAGCGUGUGAGCCAGCUGCCAAGAAAAGCCGCUAUUGCUUCAUAAGUACCCGUACCGUAAACCGACACAGGUGGAUGAGGAGAGAAUCCUAAGGCCGGCGGGAGAAGUGUUGUUAAGGAACUCGGCAAAAUGACUCCGUAACUUCGGGAGAAGGAGUGCCACAGAGAUGUGGCCGCAGAGAAAUGGCCCAAGCAACUGUUUAGCAAAAACACAGGUCUAUGCAAAACCGAAAGGUGAGGUAUAUGGGCUGACGCCUGCCCGGUGCUGGAAGGUUAAGAGGAGAGGUUAGAGCAAUCGAAGCUUUGAAUUUAAGCCCCAGUAAACGGCGGCCGUAACAAUAACGGUCCUAAGGUAGCGAAAUUCCUUGUCGGGUAAGUUCCGACCCGCACGAAAGGCGUAAUGAUUUGGGCACUGUCUCAACAACACACCCGGUGAAAUUGAAAUACCAGUGAAGGUGCUGGUUACCUGCGCCAGGACGGAAAGACCCCAUGGAGCUUUACUCCAGUUUGAUACUGGGAUUCGGUACUGUCUGUACAGGAUAGGUGGGAGGCUAGGAAAUGGUGACGCCAGUUGCCAUGGAGCCAACCUUGGGAUACCACCCUUACAGUACUGGGUUUCUAACCUGCAGCCGUGACCCGGCUGGGGGACAAUGUCUGACGGGGAGUUUGACUGGGGCGGUCGCCUCCGAAAGAGUAUCGGAGGCGCUCAAAGGUUCCCUCAGAACGGUUGGAAACCGUUCGAAGAGUGCAAAGGCAGAAGGGAGCUUGACUGCGACACCGACGGGUGGAGCAGAUACGAAAGUAGGACUUAGUGAUCCGGUGGUAUAAAGUGGGAUUGCCAUCGCUCAACGGAUAAAAGCUACCCUGGGAUAACAGGCUUAUCACUCCCAAGAGUUCACAUCGACGGAGUGGUUUGGCACCUCGAUGUCGGCUCAUCGCAUCCUGGAGCUGUAGCAGGUUCCAAGGGUUGGGCUGUUCGCCCAUUAAAGCGGUACGCGAGCUGGGUUCAGAACGUCGUGAGACAGUUCGGUCCCUAUCCGGCGUGGGCGUAGGAUAUUUGAGAGGAGCUGUCCUUAGUACGAGAGGACCGGGAUGGACAAACCUCUGGUGUAUCUGUUGUUUUACCAAAGGCAUGGCAGAGUAGCCAAGUUUGGCAGGGAUAAACGCUGAAGGCAUCUAAGCGUGAAGCCCCCCUCAAGAUAAGAUAUCCCAUCUUCGGAGUAAGACCCCUUGAAGACUACAAGGUUGAUAGGCUUCAGGUGUAAGUGUGGUAACGCACUCAGCUGAGAAGUACUAAUAGGUCGAGGACUUAUC